rnacentral:rRNA from 1 species
UACGUAGGGUGCAAGCGUUAAUCGGAAUUACUGGGCGUAAAGCGUGCGCAGGCGGCUUUGCAAGACAGAUGUGAAAUCCCCGGGCUCAACCUCGAGACGCCGAUGGAAACCAUCUGGCUAGAGUCCGGAAGAGGAGAGUGGAAUUCCUGGUGUAGCGGUGAAAUGCGCAGAUAUCAGGAAGAACACCCGUGGCUAAGGCGGCUCUCUAGUACGGUACUGACGCUGAGACGCGAAAGCGUGGGGAGCGAACAGG